CGGACGGGUGAGUAACACGUGGAUAACCUACCUAUAAGACUGGGAUAACUUCGGGAAACCGGAGCUAAUACCGGAUAAUAUAUUGAACCGCAUGGUUCAAUAGUGAAAGACGGUUUUGCUGUCACUUAUAGAUGGAUCCGCGCCGCAUUAGCUAGUUGGUAAGGUAACGGCUUACCAAGGCGACGAUGCGUAGCCGACCUGAGAGGGUUAUCGGCCACACUGGAACUGAGACACUGUCCAG
rnacentral:rRNA from 1 species